AUCCACUGCACCAUCUUGCUGCACUUAAUAAAUGAUUAUUCCCUCCCCUUCCAGAAACUGAGCACAACCCAGUUAAUUAAAGUCUGGUUAAUGAUCUGUGGAUGCUUUAAGUAAUGGGGGCAGGGGAAGGGGGGGGUGAGUCGGAUUGAGCACAAGAGGACCCAGAAUGACCAAGGGCAUUUUUAUCCAGCUAUAUCUUAGGUAUUAAAAGAUACACGAGGAACUACAGACUCGAUUCUAUCUAAUAACAGCAUCUCAAAGCCUGUAACAGGAAUGCAGAUAGUGCUACAUAGCAGCUGGGCUGGUAAGAAGAACUGAGAUGAGGGAAGUUGAUGGCAAAGGUCCAAGGAGAAGUCUGCGUGACUGAACUUCCUGAAAUUGCCUCUAAAACCUCCCUGAUGUACUAAUCCUGUCCCAAGGAACCUAUUUAGUUCUUCAAUGUUUGCCAAAGAUAACUGGCUAUAAUGAAAAUUUAUAAUCACCACAUUAUGUAAGAUACAACCAAGAUUGGAGUGGGAAUGGGAUGUGCAUCGCGGGCCUCUGCCAAUCAUCUUGACCUUUGUCCGGCCACUGGACUUUGGUGACUCAGGAAGAGAGUGAGGCUGAUGACUUUGUGCAACUCUUCCUCACUUAAAUCCAAUUCACGGACAAGUCAAGACAUCAGCCUGUGAUAUCAUCGGUCCUCUUUGAAAAUGAAG
rnacentral:lncRNA from 1 species